rnacentral:rRNA from 1 species
GUGUCAGCAGCCGCGGUAAUACGUAGGGGGCGAGCGUUGUCCGGAAUUAUUGGGCGUAAAGCGCGCGCAGGCGGUUUCUUAAGUCUGAUGUGAAAGCCCGUGGCUCAACCACGGAGGGUCAUUGGAAACUGGGAAGCUUGAGUGCAGAAGAGGAGAGUGGAAUUCCACGUGUAGCGGUGAAAUGCGUAGAUAUGUGGAGGAACACCAGUGGCGAAAGCGGCUCUCUGGUCUGUAACUGACGCUGAGGCGCGAAAGCGUGGGGAGCAAACAGGAUUAGAUACCCUGGUAGUCC